CCUACGGGUGGCAGCAGUGGGGAAUAUUGGGCAAUGGGCGCAAGCCUGACCCAGCAACGCCGCGUGAAGGAAGAAGGCUUUCGGGUUGUAAACUUCUUUUAUAAGCGAGAAAUAUGAUGGUAACUUAUGAAUAAGGAUCGGCUAACUACGUGCCAGCAGCCGCGGUCAUACGUAGGAUCCGAGCAUUAUCCGGAGUGACUGGGUGUAAAGAGUUGCGUAGGUGGCAUAAUAAGUAGCUAGUGAAAUCUGGUGGCUCAACCAUUCAGACUAUUAGCUAAACUGUUAAGCUCGAGACCGUUAGGGGUAACUGGAAUUUCUAGUGUAGGAGUGAAAUCCGUAGAUAUUAGAAAGAACACCGAUAGCGUAGGCAGGUUACUGGGACGGUUCUGACACUAAGGCACGAAAGCGUAGGGAGCAAACGGGAUUAGAUACCCUGGUAGUC
rnacentral:rRNA from 1 species